AUUGAACGCUGGCGGCAGGCCUAACACAUGCAAGUCGAGCGGAUGAAGGGAGCUUGCUCCUGGAUUCAGCGGCGGACGGGUGAGUAAUGCCUAGGAAUCUGCCUGGUAGUGGGGGAUAACGUCCGGAAACGGGCGCUAAUACCGCAUACGUCCUGAGGGAGAAAGGGGGGGAUCUUCGGACCUCACGCUAUCAGAUGAGCCUAGGUCGGAUUAGCUAGUUGGUGGGGUAAAGGCCUACCAAGGCGACGAUCCGUAACUGGUCUGAGAGGAUGAUCAGUCACACUGGAACUGAGACACGGUCCAGACUCCUACGGGAGGCAGCAGUGGGGAAUAUUGGACAAUGGGCGAAAGCCUGAUCCAGCCAUGCCGCGUGUGUGAAGAAGGUCUUCGGAUUGUAAAGCACUUUAAGUUGGGAGGAAGGGCAGUAAGUUAAUACCUUGCUGUUUUGACGGUACCAACAGAAUAAGCACCGGCUAACCUCGUG
rnacentral:rRNA from 1 species